rnacentral:rRNA from 1 species
GAUGAACGCUGGCGGCGUGCCUAAUACAUGCAAGUCGAGCGAACAGAUGAGGAGCUUGCUCCUCUGACGUUAGCGGCGGACGGGUGAGUAACACGUGGAUAACCUACCUAUAAGACUGGGAUAACUUCAGGAAACCGGAGCUAAUACCGGAUAAUAUAUUGAACCGCAUGGUUCAAUAGUGAAAGACGGUUUUGCUGUCACUUAUAGAUGGAUCCGCGCCGCAUUAGCUAGUUGGUAAGGUAACGGCUUACCAAGGCAACGAUGCGUAGCCGACCUGAGAGGGUGAUCGGCCACACUGGAACUGAGACACGGUCCAGACUCCUACGGGAGGCAGCAGUAGCGAAUCUUCCGCAAUGGGCGAAAGCCUGACGGAGCAACGCCGCGUGAGUGAUGAAGGUCUUCGGAUCGUAAAACUCUGUUAUUAGGGAAGAACAAAUGUGUAAGUAACUAUGCACGUCUUGACGGUACCUAAUCAGAAAGCCACGGCUAACUACGUG